rnacentral:rRNA from 1 species
AUUGAACGCUGGCGGCAUGCCUUACACAUGCAAGUCGAACGGCAGCACGGAGCUUGCUCUGGUGGCGAGUGGCGAACGGGUGAGUAAUAUAUCGGAACGUACCCAAGAGUGGGGGAUAACGUAGCGAAAGUUACGCUAAUACCGCAUACGAUCUAAGGAUGAAAGUGGGGGCUCGCAAGACCUCAUGCUCCUGGAGCGGCCGAUAUCUGAUUAGCUAGUUGGUGAGGUAAAGGCUCACCAAGGCAUCGAUCAGUAGCUGGUCUGAGAGGACGACCAGCCACACUGGAACUGAGACACGGUCCAGACUCCUACGGGAGGCAGCAGUGGGGAAUUUUGGACAAUGGGGGCAACCCUGAUCCAGCAAUGCCGCGUGAGUGAAGAAGGCCUUCGGGUUGUAAAGCUCUUUUGUCAGGGAAGAAACGGUGAAGGCUAAUAUCCUUUGCUAAUGAUGGUACCUGAAGAAUAAGCACCGGCUAACUACGUGCCAGCCGCCGCAGUAA